rnacentral:rRNA from 1 species
GACGAACGCUGGCGGUGUGCUUCACACAUGCAAGUCGAACGAGGUAGCAAUACCUAGUGGCGGACGGGUGAGUAACGCGUGGGAGUCUGCCUUUAGAUGGGGGAUAACGGGUCGAAAGACUCGCUAAUACCGCAUAUGACGAAAGUUGAAAGGAGUAAUCCGUCUAAAGAUGAGCCCGCGUCCGAUUAGCUAGUUGGUAGAGUAAAAGCCUACCAAGGCGACGAUCGGUAGCUGGUCUGAGAGGAUGAUCAGCCACAAUGGGACUAGAGACACGGCCCAUACUCCUACGGAGGCAGCAGUGGGAAUUUACGCAAUGGGCGAAAGCCUGACGUAGCGACACCGCGUGAGCGAAGAAGCCCUGGGUGUAAAGCUCUGUCAGCUGGAACGAAAAAAUGACGGUACCAGCAGA